rnacentral:rRNA from 1 species
CUGCGAAAGCAUUUGCCAAGGACGUUUUCAUUAAUCAAGAACGAAAGUUAGGGGAUCGAAGACGAUCAGAUACCGUCGUAGUCUUAACCGUAAACUAUGCCGACUAGGGAUCGGAGGGCGUUAUAAUAACCUCUCCGGCACCUUACGAGAAAUCAAAGUUUUUGGGUUCUGGGGGGAGUAUGGUUGCAAGGCUGAAACUCAAAGGAAUUGACGGAAGGGCACCACCAGGAGUGGAGCCUGCGGCUUAAUUUGACUCAACACGGGGAAGCUCACCAGGUCCAGACACAAUAAGGAUUGACAGAUUGAGAGCUCUUUCAUGAUUUUGUGGGUGGUGGUGCAUGGCCGUUCUUAGUUGGUGGAGUGAUUUGUCUGCUUAAUUGCGAUAACGAACGAGACCUUAACCUGCUAAAUAGCUGUAACAAUAGAUUAUUGUUUUGACAGCUUCUUAGAGGGACUAUCGAUUUUCAAGUCGAUGGAAGUUUGAGGCAAUAACAGGUCUGUGAUGCCCUUAGACGUUCUGGGCCGCACGCGCGCUACACUGACGGAGCCAGCGAGUCUAACCUGUGCCGAGAGGUAUGGGUAAUCUUGUGAAACUCCGUCGUGCUGGGGAUAGGGCAUUGCAA